rnacentral:rRNA from 1 species
CCUACGGGAGGCAGCAGUGGGGAAUAUUGCACAAUGGGGGAAACCCUGAUGCAGCGACGCCGCGUGAGGGAAGAAGGAUUUCGGUAUGUAAACUUCUGUCAGCAGGGAAGAAAAUGACGGUACCUGACUAAGAAGCCCCGGCUAACUACGUGCCAGCAGCCGCGGUAAUACGUAGGGGGCAAGCGUUAUCCGGAAUUACUGGGUGUAAAGGGAGCGUAGACGGUUAAGUAAGUCAGGAGUGAAAGGCCGGGGCCCAACCCCGGGACUGCUCUUGAAACUAUUGAACUUGAGUGCAGGAGAGGUAAGCGGAAUUCCUGGUGUAGCGGUGAAAUGCGUAGAUAUUAGGAGGAACAUCAGUGGCGAAGGCGGCUUACUGGACUGUAACUGACGUUGAGGCUCGAAAGCGUGGGGAGCAAACAGGAUUAGAUACCCCGGUAGUC